rnacentral:lncRNA from 1 species
CGCCGGUUUUCAAGCGAUGCGCAGAGCAAGGAACGGCCAAGCUACCCGCAUCCGGCUGUCCGCCGGUAUAGCUCCCGAAGUGCUCGAACGUCAAGGCAUUUUCUAGGCCCACAGAGCGUGCCGUCGAGUAAAGAUUGCGGUGCUGCUACUCACUGAUGUGUGGAAACGUUUGAAGAGGGCACGGUAGCGCCGAGGCGCUGGCACGGUGUAAAGAGGGUCUCCAAAGCUUUGAAUCACGUCCCUCGAUCGCACCGAACAAAGGAGUCGCAUAGAACGGAGUCGCACGGCCGGCAUCUGGUGACUAUUUGCACGGUGCCGCGGAUCAUACUCAGUGAAGAACUUGCGCUUACGUCAGUAACGGCAACACACAACACACAAUGCGAAGUAACGCAGUAAAGGUCGACCGCAUGAACAAAACUCGACACUACGACGCACACACGAAAUGCAGGACG